GAGUUGGAGAAUCUCAUCUCUCCUUUUAGCCUGCUUAAAGGAAAAAAAAAAGUGGGCUCUUAAAUUUAAUUUUUAAUUCUAUGCCUAUGAUUGGGAGUCCGAUGGGAGCAUGAGCGACUUUCAGAUCUUAGUCCUACAGAUGUACUCCGCAGCAGGUUCUGUUCUCUUCCUGGUUACAAGCGCCAACUCGAGGAAGGUGAGGAUUCUCAUUGGCUUUAGGUAAAACCCAGUAUCAUCAAUAAAAAGUCUCACAUCUGGGCUUGAUUCCAAAUGGCAGCAUGGACCUGCUAGCGCUGAUUUUGAUAAUGCUUCAACGAUGAAUUUCCUCCAUAACUUUACUCCCAUUCCCUGAGCCGAUUAAUUGAAAUCUGCUACACAGAUGCUACAGUUUCCACAGAGUAAAAUUAUACCUACGAUAUAGUAAGAUACAGAAUGGUUGGACCUCGAAUGAUCUACUAUCCACCUUCAAAGAUCGCCUGAAUAAUCCGUGAAAAGGCUUUCUCCAGCAUGAGUUUUCCGAGGCAAACCUAAGAGCAGCAAUCUGCGAGAGAGAAUGGCGGACAUCGGAGCAUUAUUGAUUAGAGCGAGAAUGCUGACUGGCAGGAAAAAGAUGCGUAUUUAAGCACCUUUCCAUACCUCCUGGAAAUUGCUUGAUCCUGGCUUAAGUCCCAGCUCCGACAUUUAUAAUUUUCAUUUAAAAAUGACAGCUUACUAAAAUGAGAAAAACAUAUCAGCUUACUAAAAUGAGAAAAACAUGUCAUUACACAAGAGGGAGUCAAUACAAUUUUCCUUAAACGUAGGUUUUAAUAAAAUGUUAAUUCAUCUGUUGUGAAGAAUAAAAAAAUAUUUUUUCUCAGUUCUGUACACAUCUUUUAAUGGAAACCAAUAAUAAUUCCCUGAAGAGUGCUGCUCUUGUUUUAAAGCAUUCACACAAAAUAGAUGCAUGAAAGUAAAGUGAUUUUUAAAUGGA